CGGUCUGGGAUGGGCUCGCGGCCUAUCAGCUUGUUGGUGAGGUAAUGGCUCACCAAGGCGUCGACGGGUAGCCGGCCUGAGAGGGUGACCGGCCACACUGGGACUGAGACACGGCCCAGACUCCUACGGGAGGCAGCAGUGGGGAAUAUUGCACAAUGGGCGGAAGCCUGAUGCAGCAACGCCGCGUGAGGGAUGACGGCCUUCGGGUUGUAAACCUCUUUUAGCAGGGAAGAAGCGAGAGUGACGGUACCUGCAGAAAAAGCGCCGGCUAACUACGUGCCAGCAGCCGCGGUAAUACGUAGGGCGCAAGCGUUAUCCGGAAUUAUUGGGCGUAAAGAGCUCGUAGGCGGUUUGUCGCGUCUGCUGUGAAAUCCCGAGGCUCAACCUCGGGCCUGCAGUGGGUACGGGCAGACUAGAGUGCGGUAGGGGAGAUUGGAAUUCCUGGUGUAGCGGUGGAAUGCGCAGAUAUCAGGAGGAACACCGAUGGCGAAGGCAGAUCUCUGGGCCGUAACUGACGCUGAGGAGCGAAAGGGUGGGGAGCAAACAGGCUUAGAUACCCUGGUAGUCCACCCCGUAAACGUUGGGAACUAGUUGUGGGGACCAUUCCACGGUUUCCGUGACGCAGCU
rnacentral:rRNA from 1 species